UUGUAAUUGAAAUUUUUUGAUGUGCUUUCAUUUAGAAUAUUUUCAUGUUUUUUCCUCUUCUCUAUUUCUAAUGCUUCUAGGAUUAAUCCUUGUUUCAUAUUUGGCACUUGUUUGGUUAUUUUUGCUCCUCCCCAAUCUACUGCCAUGUUUGAGGCAUAGCAUUCUGCCAUUAAUACUGUUGUGGGGUUGCCACUCCUUAUAUUUCUUUUGUGUUCUUGAAAUCAUUCCUUUAGGAUGUGACUGGUGACUCUAUGUAUGAGGCAUUGGAAAACUUGUAAACACCAUGGUGAUAUAUAAUUGAAGAGAUUAUUAAAAAUUUGAAAAAUGUCCACUUGGAAAUAAACGUAAAUGUACGUAAAUAAGCGUAAUUCAAUCAUAGAUGUUGAAUGUAACAAAUAUAG
rnacentral:lncRNA from 1 species